UACGAAGGGUGCAAGCGUUACUCGGAAUUACUGGGCGUAAAGCGUGCGCAGGCGGUGAUGUAAGACAGAUGUGAAAUCCCCGGGCUCAACCUGGGAACUGCAUUUGUGACUGCAUCGCUGGAGUGCGGCAGAGGGGGAUGGAAUUCCGCGUGUAGCAGUGAAAUGCGUAGAUAUGCGGAGGAACACCGAUGGCGAAGGCAAUCCCCUGGGCCUGCACUGACGCUCAUGCACGAAAGCGUGGGGAGCAAACAGG
rnacentral:rRNA from 1 species